rnacentral:rRNA from 1 species
CCUACGGGAGGCAGCAGUGGGGAAUAUUGCACAAUGGAGGAAACCCUGAUGCAGCGAUGCCGCGUGAAGGAAGAAGUAUCUCGGUAUGUAAACUUCUAUCAGUAGGGAAGAAAACGACGGUACCCGUCUAAGAAGCACAGGCUAACUACGUGCCAGCAGCCGCGGGUAUACGGGGGGGGCAAGCGUUAUCCGGAUUUACUGGGUGUAAAGGGAGUGUAGACGGUGGAGCAGGUCUGAGGUGAAAGGCUGGGGCUUAACUCCAGAACUGAAUUGGAAACUGUUUUUCUAGAGUGCCGGAGAGGUAGGCGGAAUUCCUGGUGUAGCGGUGAAAUGCGUAGAUAUUAGGAGGAACACCGGUGGCGAAGGCAGCUUACUGGGC